rnacentral:lncRNA from 1 species
AUAUUAUAUUUAUUCUGUCAAUGCAACUGGACAAUUUAAUCAGUAUUUUUGAUAAUUUUACUUUGUCAAUUUUUAUGUAACUCGAAUAACUUUUUUAUGAACAAUAGUGUACAAUAAAGAAAAAAAUUUAAAGAAUAAAGUUUUCUUUCUUUAUCAUUUAUUAUGAAGCAACGAUUCGUAAAAAGUAGAAAUUAAUGAGACAAAAAAUCGAAGAGAUAAUGAUUUUACGGAAAAAACGAACGGACACAAAUGAAGAGCGAAGUGAUUGGAGAGCAGCAUUUAAUGGGGAGGAAGCUGAAAAGAAAAAGAUGUUACAAAAAAAACAAGUGAACACACUUAAUGAGGGGAAAAGUCGAAGAGGCAAUGAUGUUAUUGGGAUGGCAAACAGGAGGAACGAAUGAAACAAAGCAAUUGAAAAAUAGAAAUCGAGAAUGAGAGAGACUCUUGAGGUGGGUCCCAUGAGCAAAACUUAAGAAGAGCACGCACAUAGGAUAAGAUUAUGAAAAUUAAUAGUGUUUUAUAGAUUUAAAAGUAAUAAUAGUUAGUUUUAACUACCUAAAUUGUAAAGACCUAAUUUUUAUACAUCAAUCAUCUAUGAGCCAAACAACCUAUAUAUUAUAUUUAUUCUGUUGAUGCAACAUGACGAUUUAAUCAGUAUUUUUGAUAAUUUUAUUUUGUCAAUUUUUAUAUAACUCAAAUAACUUAUUUAUGAACAGUAAUAUACAAUAAAGAAAAAAAUUUAAGGAAUAAAGUCUUCUUUCUUUAUCAUUUAUUAUGAAGCAACGAUCCGUAGGAAGUAGAAAUUAAUUAGGCAAGAAGUCGAAGAGAAAACAAUUUUACGAAAAAAACAAACGAGCACAAAUGAAGAGUGAAGUGAUUGGAGAGUAGCAUUUAAUGGGGAGAAGCUGAAAAGGUAAAGAUGUUACGGAAAAGACGAGUGAAGAUACUUAAUGAGGAGGAAAGCCGAAGAGGCAACAAUGUUAUUGGAACGACAAACAGACACAUUGUGGAGAAACGAACGAAACAAAGCAAUUGAAAAAUAGAAAUCGAAAAUGGGAGAGACUCUUGAGGUGGGUUCGAUGAGCAAAAUUUAAGAAGAACACGUCACGUAGGAUAAGAGUACG